rnacentral:rRNA from 1 species
GAUGAACGCUGGCGGCGUGCCUAAUACAUGCAAGUCGAGCGAACAGACGAGGAUCUUGCUCCUCUGACGUUAGCGGCGGACGGGUGAGUAACACGUGGAUAACCUACCUAUAAGACUGGGAUAACUUCGGGAAACCGGAGCUAAUACCGGAUAAUAUAUUGAACCGCAUGGGUCAAUAGUGAAAGACGGUUUUGCGGUCACUUAUAGAUGGAUCCGCGCCGCAUUAGCUAGUUGGUAAGGUAACGGCUUACCAAGGCAACGAUGCGUAGCCGACCUGAGAGGGUGAUCGGCCACACUGGAACUGAGACACGGUCCAGACUCCUACGGGAGGCAGCAGUAGGGAAUCUUCCGCAAUGGGCGGAAGCUUGACGGAGCAACGCCGCGUGAGUGAUGAAGGUCUUCGGAUCGUAAAACUCUGUUAUUAGGGAAGAACAAAUGUGUAAGUAACUAUGCACGUCUUGACGGUACCUAAUCAGAAAGCCACGGCUAACUACGUG